rnacentral:rRNA from 1 species
GACAGAGGUGCCGAGCGUUAGGCGGAAUCACUGGGCUUAAAGCGUGUGUAGGCGGACCGUUAAGUACCUUGUGAAAUCCCCCCGGCUCAACCGGGGAACGGCUGGGUAUACUGGCGGUCUUGAGCCAUCCAGGGGCAGUCGGAACAGACGGUGGAGCGGUGAAAUGCGUAGAUAUCGUCUGGAACGCCGGAAGGUGAAAACAGACUGCUGGGGAUGCGCUGACGCUGAGACACGAAAGCCAGGGGAGCGAACGGG